rnacentral:rRNA from 1 species
UGAACCAGCGGAAGGAUCAUUACAGAGUUAUCUAACUCCCAACCCAU